CAGAAUGUGACUCCAAUUUUGCCUUUUUUGCUAGUGGUCACACUCUGAAGGCCUAAAAGCUCCGAGAUCAAAAGAAGAGAAUCACAUUAACUUCUCCCCACUUUGGUGGCAUUGAAUAUAUAACAACAGUUUGCUUCCAAAAGAGAAAGCUGGAAGUCAUUGGAACCUGAGCUGGAUAGGUGGUAGAUCGACGGUGGAGGAAGGUGGAGUCAUCAACAGCUGCAAAUAAAGAACUGGAAAACCUAUAAGACGUGACCUGAACGAAGAACCUCUGUAUCUCUGUGUGAACAGUUUUUAGCCCAAGGAACUGCAUCUGAAUGAAGUAUACUGUCGCCAGGUUCCCAAGGUUCAGAGACAGCUGAUCAAAAGAUUGGUAAGACCUUGUUCACAGGGACUACGCUUUGCUGUGUGGAGUCAAAUUUGCCAAGAUUUUCUGCAACGCCAAUACAGUUGUAUCUAACUUCAAUCUCUGAGAGAGAAACCAGGAAGAAAUUUCACUCCCUCAAGGAGAGAUCAGCUGAUGUGCUUCUGUUUCAUAGUCAACCCUGGGUGAAGGAAAGGAGUUCCACUUUCAGAGAAGAAAGGAUACAGGCUAAAUCAACUCCUGGUGAAAAAUUCUUCCUUCUUGGGAAAUUAUAUUUGCAAAGCUGCAUGAAAGGUAUCUCUGUUUAGUAAUAGAUUAGACUGCUAAUCAAGUCCUCUGUGUUGUGGUCAUUUUUGCUAUCCUGGGUGAAUAGAUCAUGAUGUUAAUGGCGCCACUGAUGGUCAUGUGGGCAUUUGAGGAGAUAAGCACCAUAUGGCAUGAGGAUUGACAUUGCAAACUGAUGUUGGAGACUGUGCCUAGAGAAGGGGAAAAUUCAACUCCUUACUCCUAAAUAUGCUAACUGUAGCGAAAAGGUGCUGGAACUUUUCCAUAUUAACUGUUACAUCAGCAGACUGAUGAAAGUCAGGAUACUGCACAUUAGCGGGUAUAGUAAGCUAAUAGUAAGUCAUAGGGAUUUGAGUUAAAUGGCAGGCCUAUCAAAAACUGUAAUUAUAAUAUGCUGCAUCUCCACAAUCCUUUCACUAAGGCCUCUGACUUAAGAGUCACCAGUCCNNNNNNNNNNNNNNNNNNNNNNNNNNNNNNNNNNNNNNNNNNNNNNNNNNCCCCGCUUCAAACUUUUCUGUAAGUCUCUGUGUCUAAAAGUCAUAACCAGCCCCUUUUCGAUCACUAUAAUCUUUGAUCUGUC
rnacentral:lncRNA from 1 species